rnacentral:rRNA from 1 species
UACAGAGGUCCCAAGCGUUGUUCGGAUUCACUGGGCGUAAAGGGUGCGUAGGCGGUCGGGUAAGUCUGAUGUGAAAUCUCACAGCUUAACUGUGAAACUGCAUUGGAUACUAUCCGGCUAGAGGAAUGGAGGGGAGACUGGAAUACUUGGUGUAGCAGUGAAAUGCGGAGAUAUCAAGUGGAACACCAGUGGCGAAGGCGAGUCUCUGGACAUUUCCUGACGCUGAGGCACGAAAGCCAGGGGAGCAAACGGG